GAAUAUUUCAAGAAGUGUCUUUUUUUUUUCCUUUUAGGGGCAAAAUAUGCAAAGAAUACCCAAAAUUCUCACAGUGGCCAAUCAAAUAUCUGUUGCCAUUUGCCAGCACAUACUUAUGUGUAUUAGAUUCUCGCUUUACUCUGCAACAAACACAAAGUUUGAAACUGACUUAAUGCAACUGCAGACAUGAGAAUACAAUAGUCAACAAUUAAACCAGAUAUAAAAAGAAUUUGCCAAGAAAAGAGAAC